UGAGUUGUAGGGGAAUUUGUAGUUGUGUAGAUAAUGAUGGUGAGUUAGAAAGUGAUAAUGAUGUUGAUACUGAGAGCGAUGAGAGGGUGGUGGAGUCGAAGGCGGAUCCUAAAGAGGUGGAACGGGUGUGUAAGGUUAUUGAUGAGUUGUUUUCGUUAGAUCGGAAUAUGGAGGCUGUUUUGGAUGAAUGUGGGAUCAACUUAAGCCAUGAUUUGGUAGUAGAUG
rnacentral:misc_RNA from 1 species